GACCAGACUCGCUCGCGGGGUUCAGCCGGCAUUCGUGCCGGUGUACUUCCCCGUGGGCGGGCCAGCGUCGGUUUGGGCGGCCGGUCAAAGGCCUCCGGAAUGUAUCACCUCUCGGGGUGUCUUAUAGCCGGGGGUGCAAUGCGGCCUGCCUGGACCGAGGAACGCGCUUCGGCUCGGACGCUGGCGUAAUGGUCGUAAAUGACCCGUCUUGA
rnacentral:rRNA from 1 species